rnacentral:lncRNA from 1 species
CUUAAAUUUUGCUAUCUUUUCAGCAGUGAAAGUGACUCGCCUUGAAAGCGAAUAUAUGGAGAAAUAACUCCUGCAAAGCAAGCAGCUGUCAGAAAGAGCUGAGCUUAUGAAAAUACCGAAAAUUGGCGUCUUUAACAUAGUACCAAAACAAAGGCAUGACUGGAUUUUCUCUGUGCUGAAACAAGGCGGGUUUGGCUAACGCUGUCAGGUGUUCUGAAUUACAUCACUCCAGCUCCUCAUUGACACAAGGUUGUUUUUUUUUCCCCCUUGUGACUGGAUUCUGAAAAGUCCCCUUUGGGUGUCUAAAAGCACCUGCUGAUUCAGUGCUCGACUUGGCCACAUCCAAAGGAGCUGCUGUUUCUCGCUUUGAAGUAUCAGGAUGGAGGAAGUAUGGGUUGUCUACUUAUGCAUGGCGUUGUUUCUCCUCGUCAUUUUUUUGAUGAAGCAGAAGCCAGACGAUGAAGUCAAGAAAGAGAAAGAUGCUCCGAAAAGCUCAACNUCAGUGUCUGAACGCGCUGGUACCUUCGGAAGACAACUAGAAUGCACUGAGGAAGAGCUGAGCGCGUCCUUGCAUCGAUUAUCUGGUAUCUUAUUCAGUACAGAUGCGCAGAAGAGGCAAUCCCAUCAUGACCAUAGGGGUUCUUCCCAUCACUCUGACCCUCAGCUGAACCAGAGCAGAAUCCAGGAGAAAGUGUCUCACCCGGCCCAUCAUGAGAAUCUUGCAGAUGAAAUUGAACAAGCUGUGCAAGAGGCAGCCGACACAGAUGUGUAUGUGAGGAAACGGACCCAGCAGCCAGCAUCCCGAAGGCAUCGGGAGGCAGGGCAGUGGUAAGACAAAUGCUGGCUGUGUCUCUG